UACGUAGGGUGCGAGCGUUGUCCGGAAUUAUUGGGCGUAAAGGGCUCGUAGGCGGUUUGUCGCGUCGGGAGUGAAAACUCAGGGCUUAACCCUGAGCCUGCUUCCGAUACGGGCAGACUAGAGGUAUGCAGGGGAGAACGGAAUUCCUGGUGUAGCGGUGAAAUGCGCAGAUAUCAGGAGGAACACCGGUGGCGAAGGCGGUUCUCUGGGCAUUACCUGACGCUGAGGAGCGAAAGUAUGGGGAGCGAACAGG
rnacentral:rRNA from 1 species